rnacentral:rRNA from 1 species
GAUGAAUGCUGGCGGCGUGCCUAAUACAUGCAAGUCGAGCGGUAACAGGGAGUAGUUUACUACUUGCUGACGAGCGGCGGACGGCUGAGUAACGCGUGGGAACAUGCCCCAAAGUGAGGGAUAAGCACCGGAAACGGUGUCUAAUACCGCAUAUGGUCUUCGGAUUAAAGGAUUUAUCCGCUUUGGGAGUGGCCCGCGUACGAUUAGUUUGUUGGUGAGGUAAUGGCUUACCAAGACUACGAUCGUUAACUGGUCUGAGAGGAUGAUCAGUCAGACUGGAACUGAGACACGGUCCAGACUCCUACGGGAGGCAGCAGUAAGGAAUCUUCCACAAUGGGCGAAAGCCUGAUGGAGCAACGCCGCGUGCAGGAUGAAGGCCCUCGGGUCGUAAACUGCUUUUAUGAGUGAAGAAUAUGACGGUAACUCAUGAAUAAGCACCGGCUAACUACGUGCCAGCAGCCGCGGUCAUACGUAGGGUGCAAGCAUUAUCCGGAGUGACUGGGCGUAAAGAGUUGCGUAGGUGGUUAGUAAAGUGAAUAGUGAAACCUGGUGGCUCAACCAUACAGACUAUUAUUCAAACUCACUAACUCGAGAAUGGUAGAGGUAACUGGAAUUUCUUGUGUAGGAGUGAAAUCCGUAGAUAUAAGAAGGAACACCAAUGGCGUAGGCAGGUUACUGGACCAUUUCUGACACUAAGGCACGAAAGCGUGGGGAGCGAACCGGAUUAGAUACCCUGGUAGUCC